GAAAUGUCUGUGCAUUUUCUGCUACAGAGUCAGCCAAGUAUUUCUUGAAGCCCUCUGAUUCUUCAGGAGGAUCUCUUAUCAGGCUUUCAUUCAGGUCAAGGUCUGUGGCCUCUGACCUUACAGACUUUCACUGUGCUGACAUGUCUUUAGACUCAACAUCAAGCAAGCAGCUGCUGAGCUCUGCUCCUGACAGCUCCAUCGGCCCAGUUGGCUUGAGCCAUACAGGCACAUCUCCAGGCAUACUUACAAGGCAAGAAAGGAAUUGAAGGCCAAUUGGCCUCCAGAUUACCCUGCCACCAAAUGAACACUCCUUGUCAGGACCCAAGACACUGUGAUUGCGAAAGUGUAUUUAUUCAGGCGAGCUCUGGGCCGGCUCGGGUCCAUUAGCGAGGCGCUGCUCGGAGCCCUGAUGUGCUCUCUGGUAUGAUAGCUCCUCCAGGCGAUCGGCUGAGAUUCGCAGCAGGUCGUUGGCCCCCGACAGGAGUGAACCAGGCAGAGGAGGAGGUAGGCAAGGCCACGGGGCUGUUUGCUCACGGGUUCAAGGUUCAUCGCUCUGUUUUGAAUGCUAAAGGAGGACAUUGUCUUUGGGCAACGUGAGAGGAGCAAGGAACAAAGGAGCUUGAGUCAUUCUUUCUGAUUGUGAGCAGGCUGACUAUGUGAGAGGUUGAGUUAAUAGAAGAGUUGUACCCAAGGAUGUCUGAUGUGAUACUAGAGGAAAAUACAAAUGGAAGAGUUUUAGUUGUUUUUUUGUUUGUUUGUUUUGGCCCAUUUCUAUGCUUUUCCAGACCAAUUUACAAGGCACAUAAAAUGCUAAUGAAUGUAUACAAAAUUAUGAUUCAUUACCUCUGCUGUCUUGGAUUUCCUUUUACUUUAAAGCAUAAUGACAUAUUUUCAACAAUCCAAAGCCAGAGUUCAUCAUUCUACAGUUUGCAGUGUCAACUUUGUGAAGAUAAGAUCCAACUUACAUUUGCUUUUGAAACAUUUAAUUGACUCCAGACAUCCAGAGUGACUUACAAUGAAUGCAACAAUGGAACAAGCUUGAAUUUCUAAACAGUGAACAUUACAAGCAACCAAAAGUAACAAGGUCAAAAGAGGAGUGAAUAUUAGGCCACAGUGUCCAGGAUCUCUCAUGUAUGACAUAGAAAUGCUCUUCGUCGUCUUCUCCUCCCACUCCCCAAUCUCCUUGGUGUUGCUAUAGAUUGAGUACAAGUACAAUACAACUAAGGGACGCUUUCACUUUUUUUCCCUUUCAGGCAAAAAUGUGUUUUGUUGCGGUGAAUUCAGCAAGUGACAAAUCACAGGAGAAAAAAACAAACAAACAAACAAACAAAAAACAAUACUUGCACUGAACUGAAAAGCUGUCAGCCCAAUGCCUGAAUGAACAUGUAAAUGUUUCUCCAACUGCCACAUUUUUCUUCCCUUAGCACUAAACUAUGGUAUCAUCAUCCAGUCAUUGAUCUUAGAUGACAAUAUUUGGCACAAAAUCAAGACAUCUAAGCUAGAUGAAGGGAAGCAAUGAUGGAUAAUGUAAAAAAGCAAGAAAAAAGAUGUAAAAAUAAAAAAAAUAAUGUUUCUAGUUUAA